GUAUCAGUAAAAGAAAAGACGGGUUUUAUUCUUUAGAACAGACCUGCUGUAUUUCUGAGCUCCUAUUGUAUAGUUAACGUUGUAAGAAGCAACACAAGGUACUUCAAUCAGUGAGCUAAUGCUUAUCUUUUAGCUGGUCUGUAGUUCUUAGAAUGGAACCUUCAAGGUAAAAGAUUCUUAUCUCAUGUGCCUUCGAGGGCCCCCCUUAAUAAAAAAAACCUGUCUAUUCUGUCUUAUGCCCACCGCUUGAAAUUAGUAAUAAGUAAAGGUAAAUAGUCGAUCUUAGGACUGCUAGAUCCCUAAAAAUGUAUACACCAGGUCAGUAUUCUGUCAGUGCAGAUCUGGGCAAUUACCGAUUAGAUGUCCUGAGCCCCUGACUCACGCGUUUCGCCAGGAUCGCUCAUCAGAGGGGAACUGAAGACAAGCAAGUGUCUGAUUUUUAAACUAGCAACUCAUCGAUGGUUGGCUGAGCACUUUGUCCUGCCUGCCAAUCAUGAGAGAGGAGGGCAUCCUCUUAUUUGCAAACUAUUUAACCCCUAAGUUGCUUACCUAAUACAUGAAAAGAAAAAAUCUCUUAUGGAGUAAAUGUUAAUAAUUCAUAUCUCAUCCGUAUGUUAUGUUGUAAUGGCAGAUAUGCAAGUGUAUCUAAACUACAGUAAAAAAAAAAAAAAAAACAACUUUUUCUUAAAUUAUUUUGUUUGUGCAUGGAUUGACAGUCUGGCUCACUGCGCCAUGAUAACUGCAGAGAUCCAUUUAACAGUAAAAUAUAACAUGGCAUAAAAGAUACAGUGCAUUUUUUCUUUUUGUCAGAUGAAAGGUAACAGGCAUUAAAGUCAAAAUCAGGCAGUACCGGUAUGAUUUUGUUAAAGCAUGUUGUAGGGUGUAAGCUUUUCUAAUCCUCUGUGCCGGUAGUAUGUGUUAAAUGUGUUUCAAAGUACAUGCAAGGCAAGUUAAUAAUGUGUUAUGUGUACAGGCUUAGGCAUAGGUUAAAGGACAGCUAUAGGCACCCAGACCACUUCAGCUUAAUGAAGUGGUCUGGGUGCCAGGUCCAGCUAGGAUUAACCCUUUCAGAGAAACUGCUAUGUUUAUAAUAGGGUUAAUCCAGCCUCUAGUGGCUGUCUCAUUGACAGCCGCUAGAGGCGUGUCAACACUUCUCACUGUGAUUUUCACAGUGAGAAGACGCCAGCGUCCAUAGGAAAGCAUUGAGAAUGCUUUCCUAUGGACUGGCUGAAUGCACGUGUGGCUCCUGCCGCGCAUACGCAUUCAGCCGAGGAGGAGAGUCCCCCGCCCGGUGCUGGAGGAAGAGGUAAGUUUAACCCCUUCCACCCCCUCACCCCCCCUAGAGUCCGGCAGGAGGGGGACUCUGAGGGUGGGGGCACCCUCAGGGCACUAUAGUGGUCCUUUAACACUCAUUUCUUAAAACUGUGCUGCCCUAUUGUUGAAAAUGUGUUAAGGGGGGGUAAUGAGAUAUUAUUCCAUCCGCUUCAUACAAGGAAAGGGGGAACAUAUUGGCGAUAGCGUUGACAAAUUUACACAUGUAAAGUGUAGGUUUAUGACUUAAUACACUCAGCGUGUAGGUAUAAGAGUAUACACUCUAACUUCUCAGUAACAUUUAACUUGUAUGAAAUGAGCUUAGCAAAUCAAAUGAAAACGAAGUUGCUCUUGGCGCUCAGCCAGUUAAGUCCUGUGUAAAAUGUAGCAUAAAGGUAUACUACGGGUACCCAUUAGGCAAAACCCAAAACAGUUAGGCACUGGUGAAAUAUUUAACCCAUUCGAACCCAGUUUCUAUUUAAACAACAUUAGCUAGGAUUCGGCAGUUACCAAGUUAUAGGUCUCCUAAAGUAUGAUUUGUGUCUCUGUAUGGUUUCAUUACAUAAAUACAAAUUUUUCAAGUUUUCAUCAUAUAUUUUUAUUUAUUUUUUAAAUUAAAUUACAUGAGAUUAUAUAAAUAAUUGUAUGUAAAGAAAGCCCUUUUUGUCCUGAAAAAAAACAAUAUAUAAUUUGUAUGGGAACAGUAAAUGAGAGAGCGGAAAAUUACAGCUAAACACAAACACCACAAAAGUGUAAAAAGAGGCCUGGUCGCAAAUGUACAACAUCGCAAAAACAGGCCGGUCCUUAAGGGGUUAAUACAGCAAUGACACACACACACACACACACACAUAUAUAUAAUUUUUCUUUGGUGACUAUAGAGUCUUUCAUUUCCCCGACAUUUGUUCUUUGUUGUGGUACAGAGAAGCUGAGUAACGAACCUAUGGCAGUGGGGGUUUAGUCCCCACAAUUGGAUAUUUUUCUUAGACUAGAAGAGUAUUUUGGAAUAUGGAAUUUGGUUAUUACUACAGCUACUUUUAUUCAUAUGAAGUUUUAACCAACUCAUUGAAAUUUGUCCCACAUUAUUUCAGUAGGUGAUCCCUUCCUGAUUAAUACUAAGUUUGCGCACACAUUAUAAAUGAGGUGGGUACAUAACAGAAAACCAAACACAACUUAACCUGAAAAUAUUUAUUUUCAAUAUAUUUGUGAAAAUAACCGGAAAUCAAAAACGUGAUCUAUAAAAAGAAUAAGAUUUUCAUUUGGAAAAUGCUAAAUUACAAUAGCAUGUGAAAAUGAUCAGUAAGACAAAGUUUGGCACCAAAUAAGUUCUAGAGUGUCCUUAGACAAUGGCACAACGUUCUAGAGCUUUGCAUUGGGAUUGGUCAGCUGGAUGACAUUAUUGGUUAGCAGGUCCAUGGUUGGCACACAUCAGCUCGAGCCAUGCUUCCCCUUUUAGUAUGAUAAAAUACUGUCCUUGCUGGAAACCGUAUCCACAUCCAAAUAUAAAAUUAUUUUUUUACAGUCAAAAAAAAAAAAAAAGUCUAAAAUACGGACUGUUUUAAAACAUUAUUUUGUCCCUUCUUCAUCCUUUGUUGAACGUAGUCCACUGGCUCGGUAUUCACAAUACUUGUAGUGGUCCAGACUGCGACGGUCAUUUUCUGGCUACCAUAACGAGUCGACCCUGUGAGUAAGCAGAUUAGAUGUUAUAUACAGUGUAGCCGUACCAGCAGAUCGCGCAUGUUGUGAAAGAUAAAAGCACAAUGUGUUAUAGGCAGAUGGAAGGAAGCUGGAUGAGUUCUACUGUGAGAGAUAAAGUUACGUUUCUUUGUACAUUUAUGUCUUGCGGUCUGAUAGAAAAGAAGUUUCAGAAAUGCAGCCAACAGUGCACUCUGGUGGCGGGUUUCAGUAUUAACCAUCUGUAAAACAGGCGCUAGAAAGGCUUUGCUUUAAGAUGGAAUCAGCACACAGUUACAGCUUUUGGUGCUAGUCAGCCCUGUAGUUUGCAGAUGGGGGGGGUCUACAUAGUAGUCAUGGUUACCAAGCUCUGCGUUUCCCUAUGAUUAGCAAUACAGCCCACUACCUGAGUACUAACCUUCCCAUUCUGUAUCAUCUCCAAAAUGACAGCAGGUAAGGAACACGCCAGCCUAGGCUGCGGAGAGUAUCCCAGGCAAGUGUUUCUGGGAGUUUACCUUCUACAGCAGAAUGUUGGCAAUUGAAAUACAGUUCUGAACUACAACUCAAAAUUUCAAGUCAUGACCAUUUAGAGCAGUAUUGUUGGAAUAGAAGGAAAACCCGCAAUAAAAUAAGAUGCGGAGAAUGGGUUUAUGGAACAAAACAAGUGUCGAUGGGUGGAAGGCUCAGUUUAAAACGGCUUUAACUGCACCACAAAAAUGUGAGAAUUGAGAAAUAUACAUUGAUCACGUUGGAAAUUCACUGUCAGAAUAUAUCAAAAUAGAACGUAGGCUCCUGAAGGAUGAAGCUAGAGGGGUUAAAGAAAAGAUGCUGUGGCCUCUGGGGGACAGCUUCAGGGAAGUACAGCUACUCUCCACCGCAUCCCUGCGCCUAUGCACCCAAAGAGGGGUAUUACCUUAGGGUAGGCAUAGGCAACCUUCAGCACGCCAGAUAUUUUGGACUACACCUCCCAUGAUGCAUUGCCAGCAUUACGGGUGUAAGAGCAUUAUGGAGGAUGUAGUCCAAAACACCUGGAGUGCGAAAGGUUCCCUAUGCCUGCCUUAGUAAAAUAUGCAAAUUGCCCUCCCAUAGAUACAACUAUCUCCAGGAAGGGAGAGAACCCACUGCGCCCCACCAGAAAAGUCUUUAAAUCCCCUGUAUGUUCAAGUAAGGGAAACCUAGAAGGUCUAUAAUCUAGUAUAAAGAUACUCUCCUAACUAUAUUCACUAUAGCGAUCCAAAUAUACACACUUAGUACCAUGCUAUUUAUAUUACAGUUACUCUAUCCAGGAACGAGAAAAACAAUAAGCAUCAAUUCAAGUUUUGAAAGGCAUGCGAUUAAAAUAUAUUUAUAGAAUAAUACACAGAACAAAAAAAUAAUAUAUAUAAAAUAAAAUAUAAUAUAAUAUAAUAUGUCUGUCUAAAACAAAGCACAAAAACAAAGAACAAAAUGUAUGGUUUAAAAUAGGUCAUGGGUGUCCAGCCUUUUGGCUUCCCUGGGCUGCAUUGAGCAAAGGGGAAUGGUUUUUGGACCGCACAGCAAAUAUAUAAUAUAGUUAAUGUAUACAAGCAAUAAAACUUCAAAAGCCAUUUUCUUAAUUUUGAUAUUUACAUUGUUUAGCAGAUAACUGUUAACUUGUUUGUUACGUUUGAGUGGGAUUGCCAUGUAAAAACAAAAAACAAGCUCCCUGCCUCCCGCGCCGCCCGGACAGCAACUGGGCCUUAUUACCAUUACUAGUGGUUCUGGGCCGCGGGUUGGACACGCCUGGUUUAGAGUGUAUGCUAUGACUAUUCUUCUAACAAACUGAAGCUGGAGGAAAGGGUUCUUUACCGCAAGUACAAUAAUGCAGUUUUACGAGAUUCUAGAUUUUUUUUUUUUUUUUUUUUUAAAGGCUUGGAUGCUUUCUGCAUAAACAGAAUAUGUAUGUAAACAGGCUGUCGAUUCAAAGAGAAAUCAGAUUGCCAUUAUGGAGUCAAGAAGAAGAAUUUUUCCCUUUUUAUGGCAUCAAUGGAAAUGUAUUUCCUUAUUUUGGAUCAACAACGAAGAAUGAGCUUCACAGCUGAACUUUACAUUUUUUCCCAACGUAUUUAAAUAUGGAAAAUGAACACGGGGUAUUUUCCAAAUGAAUGCGAUUGCCAAGCCAUUAAUGAGACCAUGUCUCACGUGUACCAUGGGCGGGUUGGAAAGACUCACACGGAAACCAACCCCAAACGAAAAGCCAACCCAGCGACAGACCUUCCUGUCAUACUGCACACCAACCCACUGAACAGGUACGGACGCAGUGAGGCCUGCUAACCAGGAGUCUUCUCUCUUCCAUGCCUCAAUACAAUACCUACCUAGAACUCUACAUUCCACCGACACCUGCUUACUGCAGCUAAUCUCUAUCACGCAAAGUAACCUCAUAGGUAAUACAACAGAAGCGCUUGUGGUUCUUAGCUGAAAGUGCUGGUUGCACAACCUGACAUGCAUAUAUUGUACACUCACAAACUGAGGUUCGAAUUGUAUACUUUGUUGAUUUGUCCAGCAUUGUACUUUGUCAUGUGAACGCAGUUAUCUACCUGUGUUUAUUAAAUGACAACAAAAAAAUAUGUCAAAGUGAUAUUGUAGAGUCAAACACAGCAUCAGCUGUGCUUUAACAAGCGUUCUGACAGGGGCAGACUGACUACUCGGGCACAUCUGUCAUGGACCGAGGACCUGUGGCAGUCAGGGGCCAGGCCAGCUGGGGAGAUCUCUGAUCUAAAAAUCCAUCAUUUCUCUUAUAGCACAGUGAUAAGUUGCUCCUAUUGCACUCUAAAUGUCCCCCCUCCACCCCCUCCUUCUCAGAGAGUCCUGGCAGUGAUGUUGCUCUUCUUGUCAGGUCUCCUCCAUUCCACGGCUCUGCAGAAGUCUAAAGGGGGCACUUCCUGCCCCCGUCUCCUGCAGAGGAGCAGCAUGACAGAAUCUACAGGUAUGUAAAGAUUUUCUUUACCCCAUUUACCCACCACAGCCCCUAUACCCCUUGCACACAUCUCAGCCCCUAUCCCUUCCUUUAAACAUCCAGCCCCUAUGCCCCCCUUUACCCAUCCAUCCACUAUACCCCCUGCACACAUCUCAGCCCCUAUGCCCCCUUUACCUAUCUAGCCCUGUGCAUCACUUAUGCCAACUUUUACACUAUUAGCCCCUUUUUACCCAUCCAGCCCCAUGCCCCCCUUUACCCACACAGCCACUAUCCCUUUCCAGCACUUACCACAGCCCCUAUGCCCUCCUUUACUCUUCCCUGUCCCCUUGACCCACCACAGCCCCUAUGCCACCCUGCACCCUUACAGCCGCUAUGCCCCCCUUCACCCGCCACAGCUCCUAUCCCACCUUUUGCCCAUCACAAUCCCUACACCCACUACAGCUCCGAUGCCUUCCUGCAGCCACCUUAGCCCAUAUGCCCACGCACCCACUACAGCCUUUAUGCACCCACCAUAGCCCCCAACCCUCCCUUCACCCACCUCAGGCUCUAGCUCUUCCUGUACCUACCUAAACCACCUAAGCCCCUAUGCUCCCCUCUACCCACCACAGCCUCUAUCUUUCUCUGUACCCACUCAUCCACUACAGCCCCUGUGCCUUUCUGCAAAUAAUAUCGCCCCUAUGCCCCCUUGCACCCACUACAGCCCCAACCCUCUUAUCCCUAUUGAUCUCUGUAUGCACUACAGCCCCUAUGCCUUUCUGCAUCCACUACAGCCCCAUCCCUCACUGGACCCACUACAGCACCUAUACCUCCCAGUACCCGAUAUUGCCCCUAUCACUCCUGCACCCACUAUCUCCGCCUGCACCUACUAAAAGUUCCUAUGCCACCCCGCACCUACUACAGUCCAUAUCCCCUCGCACACACUGCAGUCACUAUCCACACACAUACUGCAGCAUCUAUAGUGCCCACACACAGUAGAGCUUUAAAGCAGCACUGCCAUGCCGAACUUACCUUUCCCCAAUCGAUUCCUCUUCUCUCCCUCUCUCAGUAUCUGUUCUUCUUUUCUUCCUGUCUGCUUUAGUUUUCUUUAAAAAUGAAGAAAAAGUAGGGACUAUUUCUCUUCUGGAGGUUUCCUACGCAGUGACCAGCGGAGGAGCAAAGUGUGCUUAGUUUCCAGUGGUCACAGCAAUUUUCCCAUGAUCCUUAGCUUUCCUCCGUGUUCCCACGAUGCCUACUGUCAGUACUGCCGAACAUCCUGUCACUUAGACAGGACGCCGGCAAAACUGUCGAAUUGCGUUCUAACAGUUUUUCCCAUUCGUGUUAGAACGCAAUUCGGGACUUUAUUCGGAUCGGAAUUUAAUUUGAAUGAAUGAAACUCCGAUCCUAUUCGUGCUGUGGCUGCAUCUUGCAGCCGCUUAGUAGAUAACUCCCUAAUUCCCACGGUAUCAGGGAGUUAUCUACUAAAAGGCUGAAAAACCUAAACUGGUCUUUCAGCCACAUUUACUAAUACUGAGUAAAAAUUACUUAGUAUUAGUAAAUGAUCUGCCCCUACUCGCUAUACCGCGAGUAGGGGCGUGUCUAGUAAGCAGCCUACUGUCCUCCACCCCCCUGCGCGGUGGGUGGGGGACAUAAAUUACAAUGGGGACGACGACCUUCUGUCCUACCCCCCCCCACCCCCACCCUUGAGCGGUGGUUGGGGGCCAUAAAAAUAAUGAGGGGGAGGGAAUCUACUGUCCUCCCCUCCUGCCCCCACCCCUGCGCGGUGGAUGGGAGCCAUAAAUUACAAUGGGGGACACACCUACUGUCCUCCCCCACCCACCCCCGAGCAGCGGGUGGGGGCCCUAAGACAAAUUCCCCCCCAAUAUUAUCUUUAUGGCCCCCAACCACCGUGCAGGGGUGGGGGCAAUAGGGUUUUUUAUUUUUAUUUUACAGCAGCCACUGGCUGCUCGCUGCUUCCCCCACCAUUACAAUACUGCAUACAGCCCCCCUACACACACACACACACACCACAAGCUGCAUCACCACCAUUACAAUACUGCAUACAGCCUACCUACACACACACCACAAGAUGCAUCCCCACCAUUACAAUACUGCAUACAGCCUCCACACACACACACACCCCACAAGCUACAUCCCCACCAUUACAAUACUGCAUACAGCCUCCACACACACACACACACACACCCCACAAGCUACAUCCCCACCAUUAAGCACACUGCAUACAGCCUCACACACACACACACACACCCCCACAAGCUACAUCCCCACCAUUACAAUACUGCAUACAGCUCCCCACACACACACACCACAAGCUGCAUCCCCACCUCAUUACAAUACUGCAUACAGCCCACACACACACACACACACACACAAGCUGCAUCCCCACUAUUACAAUACUGCAUACAGCCUCCCUACACACACACACACACACACACACACAGACACCACAAGCUGCAUCCCCACCAUUACAAUACUGCAUACAGCCUCCACACACACACACACACACACACACCACAAGCUGUCCCCACCAUUACAAUAUACUGCAUACAGCCCACACACAUACACACACCACAAGCUGCAUCCCCACCAUUACAAUACUGCAUACAGCCCACACACACACACACACACAAGCUGCAUCCCCACUAUUACAAUACUGCAUACAGCCUCCCUACACACACACACCACAAGCUGCAUCCCCACCAUUCCAAUACUGCAUACAGCCUCCACAUACACCUCAAGCUGCAUCCCCACCAUUCCAAUACUGCAUACAGCCUACACACACACACACACACACCCCACAAGCUGCAUCCCCACUAUUACAAUACUGCAUACAGUCUCCCUUCACACACACCCCCCACAAGUUGCAUCCCCACCAUUACAAUACUGCAUACAGCCUCCACACACAAGCUGCAUCCCCACCAUUACAAUACUGCAUACAGUCUCCACACACACCACACGCUGCAUCCCCACCAUUACAAUCCUGCUACAGCUUCCCUACACACACACACACACACACCACACGCUGCAUCCUCACCAUUACAAUACUGCAUACAGCGUACACACACACACCACAAGCUGCAUCCCCACCAUUACAAUACUGCAUACAGCCUCCACACACAUACACACACCACAAGCUGCAUCCCCACCAUUACAAUACUGCAUACAGCCCACACACACACACACAAGCUGCAUCCCCACCAUUCCAAUACUGCAUACAGCCUCCACAUACACCUCAAGCUGCAUCCCCACCAUUCCAAUACUGCAUACAGCCUACACACACACACACCCCCCACAAGCUGCAUCCCCACUAUUACAAUACUGCAUACAGUCUCCCUUCACACACACCCCCCACAAGCUGCAUCCCCACCAUUACAAUACUGCAUACAGCCUCCACACACAAGCUGCAUCCCCACCAUUACAAUACUGCAUACAGUCUCCACACACACACACACACACACCACACGCUGCAUCCCCACCAUUACAAUACUGCAUACAGCCUCCACACACACACACCACAAGCUGCAUCCCCACUAUUACAAUCCUGCUACAGCUUCCCUACACACACACACACCACACGCUGCAUCCUCACCAUUACAAUACUGCAUACAGCGUACACACACACACAAGCUGCAUCUCCACCAUUACAAUACUGCAUACAGCCUCCCCACACACACACACACACACAUCACAAGCUGCAUUCCCACCUUUACAAUGCUGCAUACAGCCUCCUUACACAUACAAUCACAAUUAUUACAGUUAUUUAUAUAGCACCAACAUAUUCUGCAGCGCAGUACAAUAGGUAAAACAAGACAGAUACAUUCUAACUCAGCACAUUGACAUACAGGAACACAACAUCACAAGCAGAAGCCCCCACACGCAACCACACAAGUAGCCUACAAACAUUGUACUUAUAUGGACUAGUAUGGUUGCACAUGUGGGGGACACUGCUUGUGAUAUCGGCAGCAACAAACAGAUUUUGUAUAAUUAAAUUAGCUUUAUUUAUUUUAAUGGGAGGUGUGGAAGCCAGUUAGGGUUUUAUUAAAACACUGUUUUUGGUAGGAUUGACCUAUUAAAUGUAAAGCUGGCCCUCUUCUGAGGCCCUGCAGGUCUGGGAGUCAUGACUGUGUGGCUCUCAUUCAGCCAUUAUGCAAGCUGGACAGCGUGCACAUAAUAUCGGUGUGAAAGCGCACAAUCCCCUAUUGCCUGAGGGCUCUGUGAGCCCGCCCCUGGUUCUGACUGCAACGCACACAAUCAGACCUUAUAUAGCAGGUGAAGGAGAGAUAUCCCACAGUAUACAAGACGUACAAUGGGUACAGGGGAGGGUUAGGUUUGGCAAAGCAUGUCAAGGGGGUGGAGAACGGGUUUUUGGAGGGGGAGGGAGAGGGUGUUAAUGUGUUGUUAUUCAGAGAGGAGCCUGGUGAAACUUGUGUCAUAAACCCAGGGCAGUAAAAUAUUUACACAUCGCCUGUCUGAAUAGCUUGUAUGUCUGGACAGGUAUAAUCAAACAAUAAAACUAUUAACAAUACAAACAAUACGCGCUCUGUACUCACCUGAUUAUUACGUACAUUAUCUGGUCAGGGUGUGUAAAUCCUGGGGAGAAAGCAGAAUGUCUGUUACAGCAUCACACAGUAUAUUAUAUUAUAACCAGCCCAUUGCCACACACCGUAUAUUAUAACCGGCCCAUGACCACACACACACACACACACACACACACACACACACACAAUAUUAUAUUAUAACAAGCCCAUUGCCACACACCGUAUAUUAUAUUAUAAUCGGCCCAUUGCCACACACAAUAUAUUAUAUUAUAUUAUAACCAGCCCAUUGCCACACACAGUAUAUUAUAUUAUAACCAGCCCAUUGC